rnacentral:rRNA from 1 species
UACAGAGGUCCCAAGCGUUGUUCGGAUUCAUUGGGCGUAAAGGGUGCGUAGGUGGCGGGGUAAGUUGGAUGUGAAAUCCCGGGGCUCAACCCCGGAACUGCAUUCAAUACUGCCUUGCUCGAGUACUGGAGAGGAGAUUGGAAUUCAUGGUGUAGCAGUGAAAUGCGUAGAUAUCAUGAGGAAGACCAGUGGCGAAGGCGGAUCUCUGGACAGUUACUGACACUGAGGCACGAAGGCCAGGGGAGCAAACGGG